UUGGGUUAAGUCCCGCAACGAGCGUCAACCCUUGUCUUUAGUUGCCAUCAUUAAGUUGGGCACUCUAAAGAGACUGCCGAUGCAAAUCGGAGGAAGGUGGGGAUGACGUCAAAUCAUCAUGCCCUUUAUGUCCUGGGCUACACACGUGCUACAAUGGUCGGUACAACGAGAAGCAAGCCAGCGAUGGCAAGCAAAUCUCUAAAAGCCGAUCCCAGUUCGGAUUGCAGGCUGCAACUCGCCUGCAUGAAGUCGGAGUUGCUAGUAAUCGCGGAUCAGAAUGCCGCGGUGAAUGCGUUCCCGGGUCUU
rnacentral:rRNA from 2 species